UACGAAGGGUGCAAACGUUGCUCGGAAUUAUUGGGCGUAAAGCGCACGUAGGCGGCUUAGCAAGUCCCAUGUGAAAUCCCACGGCUUAACCCCGGAAGGUCGGUGGAGACUGGUUUUCUUGAAGCUGCCAGGGGGAGAUGGAAUUACCGGUGUAGCGGUGAAAUGCGUAGAUAUCGGUAGGAACACCAGUGGCGAAGGCGGUCUCCUGGAGCAGACUUGACGCUGAGGCGCGAAAGCUGGGGGAGCGAACGGG
rnacentral:rRNA from 1 species